GCAGACCGGUGUGGCAGCCGUGGCCCUGAGGGACAGGAUGAAGGUGUUCCGAACCCCGGAGAGCAGGUGGAUGGGUGCGAUGGAUAGUUGCUGCUGCAACUGCUGUCUACAGUGACCCUCAAACUGUGGUGGUGCAGAAUGAUUGUACAAACAGUACAAGGAACAAGCUAUGAAACAAAACAAAAUAAAAAAACAACUCUCCUUUAAAUCCAUAUAAUCUAUUUGAUGAUCCUGACAUCUUCACUCAACUUGGAUGAAAACAGAGCAGUGAAUGUUUUACUUAUAAACAAAUAAAAUUUUACUUCCUGUGGAAGAAGAUAUUUAAGAGAUUCCCCACAACCAGUUUUCCCACUUGGAGAAAGUUGUUGCUCACUUUUGCACUGGGCUCGCAGACUUCCCAGUUGUUCAGAGCCCGGCAGUGCCCCAGCUUCUCCUUUCCAGCGGUUCCUGGCCAGCCUCUCCUUUUUGCUCCACACUGGCCCCUGACAUGGAGAGGCUUUUUGAGAAGACUGGUUAGGGAGAAAGGAAACAAGAUUAAACAGAACAGGUCCCUUGAGAACAGCUGCAGAAAUUUUGUCUUUAUUUGCUUGGUCUGGAGGCUUUGGAAGAUAGGAACUCCACAUCUUUUCCAAUUACAGUUAUAUACAGAAUAAAGGCUUCAAUCACAGCAACUCUUGCUUUCAAGCUGGCAGCAGGGAUGCCAAAA